rnacentral:rRNA from 1 species
CAGCCGCCGCGGUAAUACGAAGGGUGCAAGCGUUAAUCGGAAUUACUGGGCGUAAAGCGUGCGCAGGCGGUUGUGUAAGACAGGUGUGAAAUCCCCGGGCUUAACCUGGGAACUGCGCUUGUGACUGCACGGCUAGAGUAUGGCAGAGGGGGGUGGAAUUCCACGUGUAGCAGUGAAAUGCGUAGAGAUGUGGAGGAACACCGAUGGCGAAGGCAGCCCCCUGGGCCAAUACUGACGCUCAUGCACGAAAGCGUGGGGAGCAAACAGGAUUAGAUACCCCCGUAGUCCCUGUCUCUUAUAA